rnacentral:rRNA from 1 species
GACGAACGCUGGCGGCGUGCUUAACACAUGCAAGUCGAGCGGUAAGGCCCUUUCGGGGGUACACGAGCGGCGAACGGGUGAGUAACACGUGGGUGACCUGCCCUCAGCUCUGGGAUAAGCCUGGGAAACCGGGUCUAAUACUGGAUAUGACUCCAUGACGCAUGUUGUGGGGUGGAAAGCCUUGUGCGGCUGAGGAUGGGCCCGCGGCCUAUCAGCUUGUUGGUGGGGUGANGGCCUACCAAGGCGACGACGGGUAGCCGGCCUGAGAGGGCGACCGGCCACACUGGGACUGAGACACGGCCCAGACUCCGUACGGGAGGCAGCAGUGGGGAAUCUUGCGCAAUGGGCGAAAGCCUGACGCAGCGACGCCGCGUGAGGG